ensembl:lncRNA
CUUUUUCAGCCAGUAGGAGGAGGGGCUCCGGUCUGUGCGGUUCGGUUGAGAGGAAGUUUUUACCGUUACCAAGCAGCGGAGAAACGCCAUGGCGGCUAAACAUCAGUGUUUCAGUCAGUAAGUGUGGAGAAAAGUCAAGAAAAACAGCUUUCUGAGGCGACAAGGCGUUGAGUCUGAGUCUGGCCUGAGCGCAUCAUUGCCAAAUACCGUUAAACUCCGCCGAGGUCGUGUUUUUUCUCACUUAUCUUAACGUUAAGGGUUAAGUUGACGUUAGCUAGUUAGCUAACCUAAUUUGUGGUGCCUCGCUACUCGUUCAAACCUUCAAAUCCCUUCUGUCCUAAAUAAAAGCUACUUUUAUGCCCAUAUUUUUCCCCGUAUGACGGGCAUUAAACGAUACCGCUAUUUAUUUGUUCGCCGCUGAGGCUCGGAGACGCCGAAAAAUGGGUGAAGUGUUUGACGAGGCUUCCUACUCGAAUCGCCCGUUCCACCUUAAACGCUGCAGCAUUUACAUUCUGGUGCCGUUCUACCCCAUCAUUUAAGGUGGAGCGGGGCGUUCGAACAAGAAGCUAGUUUACCUUCAGCUUCAUGAAUAUGUGUGUGUCGUUGCAGUUGACCGUUGGUGAGCUAGGUUGCCAGGCUGAAGAAGAAAGAGUGACCACUCUUCCCUCACCGCUCCUCUGAAAUGAUGUAGCCGAGAAGCUCGUGUUCUUCCCUGAAGAGGACAAACGGAAACCUCCUCUAUCAUGGCCACGUCUAGUGAUCUGCGGGAGAAGCUGCGGAACAAACGGAGGGCCCUGCAAGAGUCUUUAGGAAAAGUGAAGGAUGACACUCAGGCUUUGGUUCCCUACGACUCCGAUGCGACUAAGGAGAGUGAUCACACUGCGGUGGAGGAACUGACUAGCAGAGGAGAUGACCCAGGCGAAGCCCUACGACGCUCACUGAAAGCACAGAGAAUGAAGAAGAAAAAGAAGCUGGUAGAAGAAAUGUCCAUGGAGAUUCCUCCAGAAGAGGAGGUGGUGAAGGCGGAGGUCACAACUGUGCAGGAGCUGCAGUUUGAGCAGGAAGAGCUUUCAGAAGACACCUCUGCAGAGGGAGCCCGCUCAGCCAGAUUACAGAGAGGUGAAUGAAUAGACUAAUUUAGCCUAAUUGAUAGGUACGUGUAGCACAAUAUUUAUUAUUG